AACGAACGCUGGCGGUAGGCCUAACACAUGCAAGUCGAACGAGACCACCGGAAGAAGUUGCUCUUACGGGCGGCGCGUGGGGGAACGGGGACGAAGACACCGGAAACCUCUUUUUCGGGGGGGCUAACGUCGGGGAACGUACGCUAACAAAGGAUAUAUCCCCCGGGUGUAAGCCCGGGUUCUUCUGGCCUUUCGGGAGUGUAAAAGCCGAGCUCGGAUUAGCUAGAUGGCGGGGUAAAGGGCCACCAAGGCCACGAUCCGUAGCUGGUCUGAGAGGAUGAUCCGCCACACUGGAACUGAGACACGGUCCAGACUCCUACGGGAGGCAGCAGUGGGGAAUAUUGGACAAUGGGCGCAAGCCUGAUCCAGCCAUACCGCGUGGGUGAAGAAGGCCUUCGGGUUGUAAAGCCCUUUUGUUGGGAAAGAAAAGCAGCAGGUUAAUACCCCGCUGUUCUGACGGUACCCAAAGAAUAAGCACCGGCUAACUUCGUG
rnacentral:rRNA from 1 species